UACGUAGGGUGCGAGCGUUAAUCGGAAUUACUGGGCGUAAAGCGUGCGCAGGCGGUUCGUUGUGUCGGCGGUGAAAGCCCCGGGCUCAACCUGGGAAUGGCCGUUGAAACUGGCGAACUGGAGUGUGGCAGAGGGGGGUGGAAUUCCGCGUGUAGCAGUGAAAUGCGUAGAGAUGCGGAGGAACACCGGUGGCGAAGGCGGCGACCUGGGUUGACAUUGACGCUGAGGCGCGAAAGCUAGGGGAGCGAACGGG
rnacentral:rRNA from 1 species